rnacentral:rRNA from 1 species
ACUCAAAGGAAUUGACGGGGAUCCGCACAAGCGGUGGAACAUGUGGUUUAAUUCGACACUACGCGAGGAACCUUACCUGGGCUUGACAUGCUUUUGACCGCCGUAGAGAUACGGCUUUUUAGGCUUCGGUCUAGACAAUUGCACAGGUGCUGCAUGGCUGUCGUCAGCUCGUGUCGUGAGAUGUUAGGUUAAGUCCUCUAACGAGCGCAACCCUUGCCAUCAGUUGCUAUCUGUUUUCAGAGCACUCUGGUGGAACUGCCUGGGAAACCAGGAGGAAGGUGGGGACGACGUCAAGUCAUCAUGGUCCUUAUGCCCAGGGCUACACACGUGUUACAAUGGCCAGUACAAAGGGUUGCGAAGCCGCAAGGUGAAGCUAAUCUCAAAAAGCUGGUCUAAGUUCGGAUUGAGGUCUGCAACUCGACCUCAUGAAGUUGAAAUCGCUAGUAAUCGCGUAUCAGCAACGACGCGGUGAAUACGUUCACGGAUCUUGCACACACCGCCCGU